GAUGAACGCUAGCGGCAGGCCUAAUACAUGCAAGUCGAACGGGAUUGGGGAGCUUGCUCCCCAUGAGAGUGGCGCACGGGUGCGUAACGCGUGAGCAACCUGCCCGUCCCAGGGGGAUAGCCCGUUGCAAGACGGAUUACCACCGCAUGACGUAGUUAACUGGCAUCAGUAUACUACAAAAUAUUUAUAGGGGACGGAUGGGCUCGCGUGACCUUAGCUAGUUGGAGAGGUAACGGCUCACCAAGGCGACGAGGUCUAGGGGCUCUGAGAGGGGAAGCCCCCACGCUGGUACUGCGACACGGACCAGACUCCGACGGGAGGCAGCAGUAAGGAAUAUUGGUCAAUGUGCGGAAGCCUGAACCAGCCAUGCCGCGUGCAGGAAGCCGGCCCUACGGGUUGUAAACUGCUUUUGUACGGGAAUAACCCCUAUUAUGUAUAAUAGUUUGAAUGUACCGUAAGAAUAAGGAUCGGCUAACCCCGUGCCAGCCGCCGCGGUAA
rnacentral:rRNA from 1 species